rnacentral:lncRNA from 1 species
CCUAGCAAAUCCAGGCUGUGUCUGAACACGAACCUUCACAGCUUCAAAUGGGCAAAGUGCAAUAUCGGCAAUGAUCUCAGCAGAAGCAGAACCAGCAAGGUAGAUGAGAGUCUUGUAUUUGGCAGUGUACUCAGGUCCAGCAAGGUCAGAGUAAGUCUUCUUAAAGUACUCGUAGAAUCCAAACUUGCAGGCACCCUGAGCACUGUAACCCAAAAGAGUAGGAACCCAUCCACGGAAAAAGCCU